rnacentral:rRNA from 1 species
UACGUAGGGCGCAAGCGUUGUCCGGAAUUAUUGGGCGUAAAGAGCUCGUAGGCGGUUUGUCGCGUCUGCUGUGAAAACCUAAGGCUCAACCUUGGGCUUGCAGUGGGUACGGGCAGACUAGAGUGCGGUAGGGGUGACUGGAAUUCCUGGUGUAGCGGUGGAAUGCGCAGAUAUCAGGAGGAACACCGAUGGCGAAGGCAGGUCACUUGG